AAAUCACACACCUCAUCGUGGUGAGCAGCAGGCAACGCUGAUAAAGCGGCUAAGUGUGA
rnacentral:ribozyme from 1 species